rnacentral:lncRNA from 1 species
AGCCUUAGCACUUUUAUUUACUGUGCAGCCUGACAGCAGGAAAGGAAGGAGAGGGGAGCUUUAAUUGAGGGUUUUCCAUGUGAUCUGAAGCCCCUUGCAGGACAGGAGUGGUGAGUACGGAACAACAGCAAGAGUGCUAAGGAAGAGAUCUGGGAAUCCCAUUGCUCCAGUGCAACAACAGAGAUGGCAGAUGAGCUACAAGUAAAGCUACUGGGAAUUAAAAGCUAGCACAGCAAGGAUCCUUGGCUGAAAGUCUACUGAUCACAAGGAAGACCGAGACGAAAGAACAUUAGGGCAAAUUAGGGCAUUCUUGUGGAAGCUAAAUUUUGUCUUCUGCCACCACUGAAGACUAUAUUUUAUUUGCUGAGUACAUCAAGCU